rnacentral:rRNA from 1 species
GAUGAACGCUAGCGGCAGGCUUAAUACAUGCAAGUCGUGGGGCAGCAGGUUUGUAGCAAUACAGAUGCUGGCGACCGGCAAACGGGUGCGGAACACGUACAGAACCUUCCUUUGAGCGGGGAAUAGCCCAGAGAAAUUUGGAUUAAUACCCCAUAGUAUAAUGAAGUGGCAUCACUUUAUUAUUAAAGAUUUAUCACUCGAAGAUGGCUGUGCGGCUGAUUAGGUAGUUGGCGGGGUAAAGGCCCACCAAGCCUGCGAUCAGUAACUGGUGUGAGAGCACGACCAGUCACACGGGCACUGAGACACGGGCCCGACUCCUACGGGAGGCAGCAGUAAGGAAUAUUGGUCAAUGGAGGCAACUCUGAACCAGCCAUGCCGCGUGGAGGAUGAAGGUCCUCUGGAUUGUAAACUUCUUUUGCAUGGGACGAAAAACUUAAUUUAUUAAGGACUGACGGUACCAUGAGAAUAAGCACCGGCUAACUCCGUGCC